CGAGUGUGGCUUUUGUGUGGUCAUGAGUACAGGACGGGAAAGUAUAUGUUGCCAAGAGGUAAACAACACUGGUCCUCUGAUACAUGGCGAUACAUCACACAAGAGGAAGAGUUUGCCACAGUAUGUACAAACGAAGCUGUCUUAAAAACAGCUAUGGUCGUGUACACACAUGACAUUGGACCUAUGCCUGAGAGUGAAGAAAACGAAGCAUUACGCUACACGGCGUACCGACAGUGGACGGCUUGGGUGCAUGGCAGGUUGGGAAAAAAGUACCGACUACCCAUACCUUCUUGUGCUGUGGACAAAAUCCGGAAAGCAUUUCCUUCGCCUUCUGGAGAAUACAAAGGAUUUGAAUAUGCUCAACACUACUGAAUGCGAGAUUUAUGUUGCUUAAUGGCUUCAGCUUUGCUGAUUUUUGAUUUGUGGUGAGUCAAUGGGACAGGUAUUUCUUUCACUCCAGCGACAUCAAGAGCUUUGGAGAGUGUUGGAUUAAUGCGUCUGCAGUACAAAACUUCUUUCAUCAAGUCCUUAACAUAUCCUGAAAAGCAAAUCAUUAUUUAUGUUGGCUUUGCAUUGCACUUUGAGAAAAGGCUCUAACAUAUCAUGUUCACAUUUUGGGAAUACAUCACUAUGUCCCUCAUGGAUGUCACAUAUAUGAUUGAGAACUGACAACCACUUUGCCUUGACAAGUUCUUCAUCACCAUUGCUGGAAGCAGCACACCAGUAUACAUGGUUGGAAAUUGAUUGGGCCCAAUUCGACAAUAAUUUGCAACCACUUUUUUUUGAUGCUGCUAAAAUUUUCUUUUUGAUUCCUGUUGGAAUUUAAUUAUUGAUGAAAUGUGUAAAAGGUUGGUUUGUUAUGACAAUCUAUACCUUUUGCUACAUGCCAUACAUCAAAGUAGUGCUCGAUUUUUGGUCUUUGUUUUGACAUGUAGGAUUAUAUAGCUUAGUUUUUGAUAAAUGUAAACAAAUAUUGCUAACUAUAACUAUAAUAUUCA